rnacentral:rRNA from 1 species
GAUGAACGCUAGCGGCAGGCUUAAUACAUGCAAGUCGAGGGGCAGCAUGAAUGUAGCAAUACAUUUGAUGGCGACCGGCAAACGGGUGCGGAACACGUACACAACCUUCCUAUAAGUGGGGAAUAGCCCAGAGAAAUUUGGAUUAAUACCCCGUAACAUAAUGAUGUGGCAUCACAUUAUUAUUAUAGCUUCGUCGCUUAUUGAUGGGUGUGCGGCUGAUUAGAUAGUUGGCGGGGUAACGGCCCACCAAGUCUACGAUCAGUAGCUGAUGUGAGAGCAAGUUCAGCCACACGGGCACUGAGACACGGUCCCGACUCCUACGGGAGGCAGCAGUAAGGAAUAUUGGUCAAUGGACGCAAGUCGGAACCAGCCAUGCCGCGUGAAGGAUUAAGGUCCUCUGGAUUGUAAACUUCUUUUAUCUGGGACGAAAAAAGGCUAUUCUUAGUCACUUGACGGUACCAGAUGAAUAAGCACCGGCUAACUCCGUGCCAGCCGCCGCUGUAACAC